CAGUCGCCACGGUAAUACGGAGGGGGCUAGCGUUGUUCGGAAUUACUGGGCGUAAAGCGCACGUAGGCGGACCGGAAAGUCAGAGGUGAAAUCCCAGGGCUCAACCUUGGAACUGCCUUUGAAACUCCUGGUCUUGAGGUCGAGAGAGGUGAGUGGAAUUCCGAGUGUAGAGGUGAAAUUCGUAGAUAUUCGGAGGAACACCAGUGGCGAGGGCGGCUCACUGGCUCGAUACUGACGCUGAGGUGCGAAAGCGUGGGGAGCAAACAGGAUUAGAUACCCCUGUAGUCCCUGUCUCUUAUAA
rnacentral:rRNA from 1 species